rnacentral:tRNA from 1 species
GCACUAGUAGCUCAAUUUCAGAGCGCCGGUCUUGUAAGCCGGAUGCCGGAGGUUAAAAUCCUCCCUACUGCU